UAAAGGAGACAGGAGGGUCCUUUCUUGGUAGAUGGCGGUGCUCAUGGCCAGCUGCUUGGGAAGAGUCAAAUUGACCUGACCUACGUUACAAGGAUUGAGCUCCAGUCAUGAAGGAACCAGGAAGAAUUGAGAAGAACUGAGUGGAUGGAUUUCAGCAGAUCCCUCAGCAGCUGCUUGGCACAGAGGGAAAGAAAAUGUCAGUGCUGCCGCUCCUGCUGCU